rnacentral:misc_RNA from 1 species
GAUGAAGAACGCAGCGAAAUGCGAUACGUAAUGUGAAUUGCAGAAUUCAGUGAAUCAUCGAGUCUUUGAACGCACAUUGCGCCCCCUGGUAUUCCGGGGGGCAUGCCUAUCCGAGCGUCAUUGCUGCCCUCAAGCACGGCUUGUGUGUUGGGCCUCCGUCCUCCUCCCGGGGGACGGGCCCGAAAGGCAGCGGCGGCACCGCGUCCGGUCCUCGAGCGUAUGGGGCUUCGUCACCCGCUCUUGUAGGCCCGGCCGGCGCUUGCCGACACAUCAAUCUUUUUUCCAGGUUGACCUCGGAUCAGGUAGGGAUACCCGCUGAACUUAAGCAUAUCAAUAAGCGGAGGA